CCUACGGGAGGCAGCAGUGGGGAAUUUUGCGCAAUGGGGGAAACCCUGACACAGCAACGCCGCGUGGAGGAUGAAGUCCCUUGGGAUGUAAACUCCUUUCGAUCGGGACGAUUAUGACGGUACCGGAAGAAGAAGCACCGGCUAACUCCGUGCCAGCAGCCGCGGUAAU
rnacentral:rRNA from 1 species